UACUCCUACGGGAGGCAGCAGUAGGGAAUCUUCCACAAUGGGCGAAAGCCUGGUGGAGCAACGCCGCGUGUGUGAUGAAGGGUUUCGGCUCGUAAAACACUGUUGUAAGAGAAGAAUGACAUUGAGAGUAAUUGUUCAAUGUGUGACGGUAUCUUACCAGAAAGGAACGGCUAAAUACGUGCCAGCAGCCGCGGUAAUAA
rnacentral:rRNA from 1 species